rnacentral:lncRNA from 1 species
CUCAAAAAAAAAAAAAAAAAAAAGUAAAGUGUGAAAGAAGACAUUUACAAUAGAUAUAAUGCUUCAUAUUGCUUGUUACUGAAAUAGGAAAAGCCUGAAAUAACUAGCACCAUCACUGUACAUGGGUGCAUAAUGUAAGUUAUAGAAACACUUAAGAAAAGUCCAUUCUGACCUGCAUACUGCCUCUUGCUUCCAAGAUCAAUGACAGUAUUCUCAUCUCCUUUAUCAAGGAACUGGACUUCAUUCUCCUGCAAAAGCUGCUUGAUCUUGACCUGUUGCUGUUUGACCCGGGUCUCAAGCAGGCGCACCUGGGCUCUGAGCCGCAUCUGCUCCUGGGCACAGUCCUCGAGCGCCUGCAAAACAGGUGAGAUGAGAUGAGUAUGCACCUCAUUUUCAUGGAAAACAAGUGCUUUUUAAACAUUUGGAUAAAUCAGUGAUUCCAUUUUGUCUCCAGUUCCCAUUUCAGAAUAUUAUUCCAAAGAGAAAGUGGCUUGAAAAGUUCUAAUACUGCCUACUAUUUGAAGAAUUGGAAAUUAUGGCUUAUGCGAAAACUCCUGGACUCAAAAGAUCAAAUAAUAUAAAAUAAUUGGAAUCGCUAUGCUAGGAGCUUUAUAGUUGUCUCCUUUGAUCCUCAUAACAAUUCCAUGCGGUAGGAAAGGGCUCAGUCUUGAUGCCCAGUGGGUAAGCGGAGGUGGGAUUCAAAUUCAGUUCAAGGACUGUGCUCUCAAUCUCUAUAUGACAUUGCUUAUGUGUUUUCUAAACAGUAAUGUGGUUUAUAGAAGUUAAUUGUACUGUUGGCAUGUAAAUCUCCAUAAUAAAUGAGGUUUUUGAAUGGCUGUCUGGUAUAAAUACUUUUAAAUAUGUAUAUUUAAUGUAUAUUAUAUAUUAUAUAUAUUAUAUAUGCAUAUAAAUAAUAUAUAAUAUAUAUAAUAUAUAAUAUAUUAAACAAUA